rnacentral:rRNA from 1 species
GACGAACGCUGGCGGCGUGCCUAAUACAUGCAAGUAGAACGAAUUGCGAACGGGUGAGUAAUGUCUGGGAAACUGCCCGCUGGAGGGGGAUAACUACUGGAACCGGUAGCUAAUACCGCAUACCAUCGGAUGUGCCCAGAUGGGAUUAGCUAAUAGGUGGGGUAACGUCUCACCUAGGCGACGAUACCUAGCUGGUCUGAGAGGAUGACCAGCCACACGGGAACUGAGACACGGUCCAGACUCCUACGGGAGGCAGCAGUGGGGAAUAUUGCACAAUGGGCGCAAGCCUGAUGCAGCCAUGCCGCGUGUAUGAAGAAGGCCUUCGGGUUGUAAAGUACUUUCAGCGAGGAGGCGUUACUCGCAGAAGAAGCACCGGCUAACUCCGUGCCAGCAGCCGCGGUAAUUC